rnacentral:rRNA from 1 species
GAUGAACGCUAGCGGCAGGCCUAAUACAUGCAAGUCGAACGGGAUUGCGGUAGUAGCUUCCUACUACUGCAUGAGAGUGGCGCACGGGUGCGUAACGCGUGAGCAACCUACCCAUAUCAGGGGGAUAGCCCGGCGAAAGUCGGAUUAACACCGCAUAACAUCAACAGUUCGCAUGUUCAGUUGAUUAAAUAUUUAUAGGAUAUGGAUGGGCUCGCGUGACAUUAGCUAGUUGGUAGGGUAACGGCUUACCAAGGCAACGAUGUCUAGGGGCUCUGAGAGGAGAAUCCCCCACACUGGUACUGAGACACGGACCAGACUCCUACGGGAGGCAGCAGUAAGGAAUAUUGGUCAAUGGGCGCAAGCCUGAACCAGCCAUGCCGCGUGCAGGAGGACUGCCCUAUGGGUUGUAAACUGCUUUUAUCAGGGAAUAAACCCCUUUACGAGUAGAGGGUUGAAUGUACCUGAAGAAUAAGGAUCGGCUAACUCCGUG